rnacentral:rRNA from 1 species
AUUGAACGCUGGCGGCAUGCUUUACACAUGCAAGUCGAACGGCAGCACGGGUGCUUGCACCUGGUGGCGAGUGGCGGACGGGUGAGUAAUGCAUCGGAACGUGUCCUUAAGUGGGGGAUAACGCAUCGAAAGAUGUGCUAAUACCGCAUAAACUCUAAGGAGAAAAGCAGGGGAUCGUAAGACCUUGUGCUUUUGGAGCGGCCGAUGCCUGAUUAGCUAGUUGGUAAGGUAAAGGCUUACCAAGGCUUCGAUCAGUAGUUGGUCUGAGAGGACGACCAGCCACACUGGGACUGAGACACGGCCCAGACUCCUACGGGAGGCAGCAGUGGGGAAUUUUGGACAAUGGGGGAAACCCUGAUCCAGCCAUGCCGCGUGAGUGAAGAAGGCCUUCGGGUUGUAAAGCUCUUUCAGUUGAGAAGAAAAGAUUACGACUAAUAAUCGUGAUUCAUGACGGUAUCAGCAGAAGAAGCACCGGCUAACUACGUGCCAGCAGCCGCGGUAAUACGUAGGGUGCGAGCGUUAAUCGGAAUUACUGGGCGUAAAGGGUGCGCAGGCGGUCUUGUAAGUCAGAUGUGAAAUCCCCGGGCUUAACCUGGGAACUGCGUUUGAAACUACCAGACUAGAGUGUAACAAAGGGGGGUGGAAUUCCAUGU